CUUAUAGACUAACAGACGUAUUGCUGCUCUUACAGAUCCAGAUUAACAUGGCUACCACUCUGAUGUGUGAAAAGAGGAUCAGGUUCGUCUCCCAGGGCUGGAUUCCGAUACCAAAAAUUCCCAUGGAAAGAGAACAGCAUUGGCAAAGAUGUGGAGUUUUGACACUUAGCGCCGGACGUGCUCAACUGGAAAUAUGUUUGAGUUUGAUUAAAUGGCAGAAUAUAAACUCAGUGGAAGCAGCAAGAGCCAAGGUUUGUGCCACACCCGUAGAAGGGAAACUCCACCUGCUCCUAUGCACGGUCUGCAGGGCCUCACCAAACUAACAGGGAAUUGGUCAUUAUGUUCCUUCCUCUCCGGCACCAUUAUUCCCUGCUGCACUGGAGACAUAGCAGAGUUUGGAGGCUCUCAACUGUUCUUCUUGCCAAGCGGAUCAAACUAAAAGUUAGAGAACGAAAUGUUGUGCUUUGUAGCAAAAUGGCAUUUCUUGGAGUGUCCAGGAGAGAGCAUGCACAGCUCAGAGACUGGAGUGACUGCAAACGCUGCGGGAAGGAAGAUACCCUACCACAGCGAAGAAGAAAGCUUGUCAUGGAAAUGAUUCAUUUCCUUGGGUUGCUCCUCAGCUAAGUCAGCUGUGAUGGAAGGGACUGGCGGUUGCUAUUAUUCCAGUGAGUCAGGCUCGUUCAGUUCAGGAAAGGCAAGCUCAUUUGAAAAGCCUAACUCUAUGAAUUUAUUUUCCAACCAAAGCCAACUAAACCCUGUGCUCCAAUCUUUAGCGUAGCACAAAAAGGAAGAAGGCAGCUAAUCUAAUCACAGAAUGUGCCCCACCCCGACAAAAAGAAAAUGAAAUUAGGGAAAGUGCUCUGCAUAACACGGUGGUGAUUUAUAGCACACUGUACUCUCUGUGUUAGUGGGGUGUGGGAUGCCUCUCCUACCCCAGGAGAAUAUUUUAAGAGUUAAUGGAAAAAGAAAGGAGUCCUGCACAGAGAGAAGAUGACCUCUGCAAACUCAAGAGCAGGGCAUGGGCUAUAGGAAGCAUGGCUCAUUCUUGCCAGUGGUGCUUACAGAACAGCACUUCCUGCCAUGUAAAGAAAUUCCUCCUCUGUGCCUCAUGGCCAAGGUGAUA